UUCAAAAGAAAUCUUCUAUCUGUAAACUAGUGGAGUUGAGCAUGGCGUCUCUUCCUUCUCCCUCACCGAGCGCUGUAAUCCAGCGCCCUCGUCCAUGGCGGUUCAGAGAAUCAUCACUCUCCAAUGGAAUCGCCAUUCAUAUCCGCUCGAAGUCAAAACCCGGCGUUCUCUGCUCCUGCAACAACAUUGACAUCUCCGAUCCACAGCUCUGUUAUUGGGCGAGUGGAGUCAAUAGACGAGAAAUUAUGCUAGGGAUUGCAUUGAGCACGUUUUCUUUUCAAGCUGUGGUUUCUAAUUCCUUGGCUGAGAGUGUUGUUGUCGCUGAGGAUUUUCGGACGUACACGGAUGAAGCGAAUAAGUUCAGAUUGGUGAUUCCUCAAGAUUGGGUUGUGGGUAAUGGUGAACCGAAUGGAUUCAAGUCGGUUACGGCUUUUUAUCCCCAAGAAACUUCAAGUUCCAAUGUCAGUGUUGUAAUCUCGGGGCUUGGUCCUGAUUUCACGAGAAUGGAAUCCUUUGGCAAGGUUGAAGAAUUUGCUGAUACCCUGGUGAGCGGACUGGACAGAAGCUGGAAAAGGCCACCAGGUGUGGCGGCGAAACUUAUAGACUGUAGAUCAUCUAAAGGGAUAUAUUACAUAGAGUACACGCUGCAGAAUCCAGGUGAAAGCCGCAAACAUUUAUACUCUGCAAUUGGGAUGGCAUCCAAUGGCUGGUACAACAGACUUUACACCAUAACAGGACAGUAUGCAGAUGAAGAAUCGGAGAACUAUAGUUCCAAAAUUGAGAAGGUGCUUUAACUAGUUGAAUUGCCCGAGAAGAGAAUGAUGUUGCAGGAGACUAUGGAAAAGAUUUUGCAAAUCAAGAUUUUAAAAUUCUCUCCGGUCGUCAAUUCCUUCUCUUUCAUUUGAUGAAUUGCAGUACAGGUCUCCGCUACACCAUUGGUUAUGGGGUUAAAAUUUUUUCAC